rnacentral:rRNA from 1 species
CUAACGAGGAUUUCCUUAGUAACGGCGAGUGAAAAGGAAAAAGCCCAACGCUGAAUCCAAUAGAUAUAUUGGCUAUAUGGAAAUGUAGCGUAUAGGUAUAACUAUCCGUAGCAUAUUUUUACAUCCAAAGUCCCCUUGAGCGGGGCUACAGUCCAUAGAAGGUGCUAGACCUGUACGGAUGAAAAAAGUUACGGUAGGUUAUACUUUAGAGUCGGGUUGUUUGAGAUUGCAGCCCAAAGAGGGUGGUAAACCUCAUCUAAGGCUAAAUACGACCACGAGACCGAUAGCAAACAAGUACCGUGAGGGAAAGUUGCAAAGAACUUUGAAGAGAGAGUUCAAGAGGGCGUGAAACCGCUGAGAUGGAAACGGAUAGAGUUAACGAAACUUAUCGGUAUUCAACCAAUCAAUUUAGCAAUCUUAAUUAUUAUUUAUCAUUUAUUAAUUAAUUUAUUAUUAUUUAAUGAAUGAAAUGAUAUUUAAGAUAUAUGUGCUAAAUUUAUAUCAAAAAUGAUUGGUGUAUUUACCGAUGGUAUGCAUCGAGAGCUUCGUUUUAGCAUAUUAAUAUAGUUAAUUUAGUGGACCAAUUAUUUUUAUUGAUAAUUGGAAUCCUAAAUCUAUUGAAAUAUGUCUUAAAUGAAGUUUUAUUCCCAUAUGUGUAACUUUCACUUGAAAUAAUAGUGACAUGCAUCGAUUAUAAUUUUUUUUACUAAUUACAUUUACAUAUAAUCGCAUGCGAUUMUUAUUAGUAAAUGGUUUAUUUUAAUUAGUAAAAUUAUAAUAUUGUAUGCAUAAUUUGAAAAGUUACAUCUCGAUGUGAAUGUUAAUCACCUAUCUGACCCGUCUUGAAACACGGACCAAGGAGU